AAAAGAACUUUGAAGAGAGAGUUCAAGAGUACGUGAAACCGUUCAGGGGUAAACCUGAGAAACCCAAAAGAUCGAAUGGGGAGAUUCAUCGUCAGCGGCUCUGGCUUCCGUGCGGCUCGCGAUGGCCGGGACCUCGGUCUCGCGUCACGCGUCCGCUGCGGCAUGUCCGGUUUCGUCGGCGUGCACUUCUCCCCUAGUAGGACGUCGCGACCCGUUGGGUGUCGGCCUACGGCCCGGUUGGUCGACUGUCGCGUCGCGUUCACCCGCGCACGCGGCAGACCACCGGUCGCCCGGCCGACUGCCCGGCGGUAUAGAUCGCUAUUAAACACGGUAUUGGGCCGCAUCAAGUGCGUUCUGGCUCGCCGGCAGGCUCGUCUCGCUCGGAUUUACGGACCUAGCGCCGUUGCCGGGCGCUUGGCGUGGCCGUUAGUCGACGAUGUCCUCGGACUGGCUCUUACAUUCGAACGAAUA
rnacentral:rRNA from 1 species